rnacentral:lncRNA from 1 species
AUUAACCCAGUAACCGGUUGUGGAUAAUCGUCCAUGCGAGUAUAUUAUCUACGUUCUGACGGUAAUAGAUAGUAUAUCUCAUGCACUCUCGGGUCUGAAGCCUUUUGUUCUUCCCCAGUUGAGUAAGAUUCGUAUCCCCUUUGUGGAGUCGAAUAUCCAUCAUGUAAUCGAGUUUGCUUUUAGCCCUCUUUUGGAUGAUGAGUGUUUU